rnacentral:tRNA from 1 species
GUGGCUAUGGUGUAGUGGUAGCACAAGACCCUGUGGAGGUCUCAGGGAGGGUUCAAAUCCCUCUAGCCACCCCA